GAUGAACGCUGGCGGCGUGCCUAAUACAGGCAAGUCGAGCGAACAGACGAGGAGCUUGCUCCUCUGACGUUAGCGGCGGACGGGUGAGUAACACGUGGAUAACCUACCUAUAAGACUGGGAUAACUUCGGGAAACCGGAGCUAAUACCGGAUAAUAUAUUGAACCGCAUGGUUCAAUAGUGAAAGACGGUUUUGCUGUCACUUAUAGAUGGAUCCGCGCCGCAUUAGCUAGUUGGUAAGGUAACGGCUUACCAAGGCAACGAUGCGUAGCCGACCUGAGAGGGUGAUCGGCCACACUGGAACUGAGACACGGUCCAGACUCCUACGGGAGGCAGCAGUAGGGAAUCUUCCGCAAUGGGCGAAAGCCUGACGGAGCAACGCCGCGUGAGUGAUGAAGGUCUUCGGAUCGUAAAACUCUGUUAUUAGGGAAGAACAAAUGUGUAAGUAACUAUGCACGUCUUGACGGUACCUAAUCAGAAAGCCACGGCUAACUACGUG
rnacentral:rRNA from 1 species